AUUUAAAUAGCUUAAAUUAAGAGUAUAAUAUUGAAGAUAUUAGGGUGAUUAUAUAAUCUUUAAAUA
rnacentral:tRNA from 1 species